UGGGGUGUGGUUCAGUGGUAAAGCACUUGUCUCUCACGUGUGAGGCACUGGGUUCGAUCCUCAGCACCACAU
rfam:Ictidomys tridecemlineatus contig052900, whole genome shotgun sequence.